GCCAAUGUGGUAUAGCGGUUUGAGUGUCAGAGUAUGACUCUGGAGGCCAGGGUUCGAAUCCUGGCUCAGCCA